rnacentral:rRNA from 1 species
AUACGGAGGGUGCGAGCGUUACUCGGAGUCACUGGGCGUAAAGCGUCCGUAGGCGGUCGGGUAAGUCGGGUGUGAAAGCCCCGGGCUCAACCUGGGAAGUGCACCCGAUGCUGCUCGACUCGAGUGCGGGAGAGGAUGGCGGAAUUCCCGGUGUAGCGGUGAAAUGCGUAGAGAUCGGGAGGAACACCAGUGGCGAAGGCGGCCAUCUGGCCCGCAACUGACGCUGAGGGACGAAAGCGUGGGGAGCAAACAGGAUUAGAAACCCUAGUAGUCC